ensembl:lncRNA
CUGGUUACUGGUGUUUGGAACACAGCCCGUGUUGUGAUGCUAAACGUAGGCUACAGAAGAAACGCGGCCCCUCUAGCUGGGACCAAAGUAAACCAUUUUUCACGCUAAUCGUCUGAUAGCGACAGUUUGUGCCAGUGCUUUAAUAAAAAGUAACGCUAACGGAAGCUAACUAGCGUUCGUCGGCUGUGUUAGAAGCAUCGCACAGCAUCGAAGGUUAGCAGUCAGCUAACCGGCCAAGAGUAACGGGAGUAACGGCGAAGCUGUGAAGAAGCGACUCCUGCAGUGUUGACACCAACCUCCAGAAAUGGAUGUGAGCAUUGCUGUGUCCUUGAUUCGAGGCCAGAUGGGCACCGUUGUUGAGCGAGCGGUGAACGCAGCCGUGGAGACGGUGCUGGCUGAGAUGCUCAAGGUAGUCGGAGUCAAAUUUGAGGAGCUGAAGACUCAGGUGAUGCUGAUGAAGAGAGAGAUUGUGGCCCUAAAGAGAGAGAAGGCCCUGAAAGAGAAGGAAAACGACAACAUUCGAGCUAAACUGCGCUACACAGAGCUGAAGCUGAAGUACUACAGGCAGGGCGUGGAGGAGGAGCUGCAGCAGAGAGCCUCUGCUUCCACCCUGGUCCGCAUCCAUCCGCCCCACUUCACCCGAACACAGAGAGGCGGAUCAGGCAUGUCACCCACUGACGCCUCACCAUCAUGCUCAGCUCAGACCAGGACUCCUGAAGGAGCGCUGACAAGAAGCAGCCACGAAUGCACCUCUUCACAGAGCACAAGCAGACGAGCCGUCAGAGUGCUCUGUCCUUCAGAGGCCAGCUCCAACUCCUCGGACCUGCUACCUGCCUCUCUCAUGGUGAACACACCGAUAGAGAGUCUGGACAGCAGUGCAGUCUUGUUGUGUUCCGCUGAGCGAGACCCGGCACAGAGGAAGGGUUUGGAUCAGGACGAGUGUGAGUGGACCGCCACUCUGCAGCCACACACAGAGGGUGCGGACGUCGGCGUGGACGGUGCUCCUGCAGGGCAGCUGGCUGCGGUGGGCUUGCACUCUAAUGGAUCUACACAGCCUGACAGCCGCACACUGCAAUCUUCUGCUCCACAGGUGACACGCACAUACUUUAGAUGAGAACCACAUCUGGAUUCAUGUCUGAACGUUCAUACUCUGAUGUGUCAUCAGCUUAGGUCCUUGUCAUGUCCUGAUCUGUGUAGGUGAAACAGGAGGAAGAGGAGGAGGAGGUGAUCUGUAUUAAGGAGGAGCCGGAGGAGCAGGAGCAGGAAGUGAUGGCCACCCUGCUGCUGGAUUGUCAGGUGCAGCAGGAUGACCUGCCAGACUCAGAGGUAAGGUUCCAGAGGAGGAAUGUUUGGAGCACAGAACAAUAAUAACUAGGGAUGUCCCGAUCCGAUCACGUGAUCGGAAAUCGGGCCCGAUCACGUGAUUUCAGACGAUCGGACAUUACCUCCCGAUCAGGACUGGGAUAUAUUUUUUAAGGCUGUCAAAGUUAACGCUUUCUGUGCAGGGUGGCUCUGUGUCCUGUAGCGCAGAGGUAUGACAGUUGCUUUUGGUGCAAGAGGUUCUGGGUUCGAGAUGUUGAUGUGCUGCGUGUGUGAAAUCUCCAAGUGUGGACACACACACACACACACAGACACACACACACACACACACACGGGUUUUGCCGCAACGACUGCCUUAUAGAAAGUAUCGGAUCGGGAC